rnacentral:misc_RNA from 1 species
UCUCCGUAGGUGAACCUGCGGAGGGAUCAUUACAGAGUUCAUGCCCUAACGGGUAGAUCUCCCACCCUAUGUUAUCAUCACUUUGUUGCUUUGGCGGGCCGUCAGGCCUUGGCUUGGCUACCGGCUCUCGCUGGUAAGCGCCCGCCAGAGAACCCCAAACCCUGAAUAUCAGUGUCGUCUGAGUACUAUAUAAUAGUUAAAACUUUCAACAACGGAUCUCUUGGUUCUG